rnacentral:sRNA from 1 species
GCUGGGCUCAGUGGCGGGUGCCUGUAAUCCUAGCUACUUGGGAGGCUGAGGCAGGAGAAUCGCUUGAACCCAGGAGGCGGAGGUUGCAGUGAGCCGAGAUCAUACCACUGCACUCCAGCCUGGGUAACACAGCGAGACUCUGUCUCAA